AAGACUAUACUUUCAGGGAUCAUUUCUAUAGUUUGUUACAAGAUGCACAUGUAUCAGAAAUAUUUGCCAGGUAUAGCACGUAUACAUGC
ensembl:snoRNA U3 Small nucleolar RNA U3